CUUUAUCAGAGAGUUUGAUCCUGGCUCAGGAUGAACGCUGGCGGCGUGCUUAACACAUGCAAGUCGAGCGAAGCGCUAAGACGGAUUUCUUCGGAUUGAAGUCUUUGUGACUGAGCGGCGGACGGGUGAGUAACGCGUGGGUAACCUGCCUCAUACAGGGGGAUAACAGUUAGAAAUG
rnacentral:rRNA from 1 species